rnacentral:rRNA from 1 species
AUUGAACGCUGGCGGCAGGCUUAACACAUGCAAGUCGAGCGGGGUGAUGGUGCUUGCACUAUCACUUAGCGGCGGACGGGUGAGUAAUGCUUAGGAAUCUGCCUAUUAGUGGGGGACAACAUCUCGAAAGGGAUGCUAAUACCGCAUACGUCCUACGGGAGAAAGCAGGGGAUCACUUGUGACCUUGCGCUAAUAGAUGAGCCUAAUUCGGAUUAGCUAGUUGGUGGGGUAAAGGCCUACCAAGGCGACGAUCUGUAGCGGGUCUGGGAGGAUGAUCCGCCACACUGGGACUGAGACACGGCCCAGACUCCUACGGGAGGCAGCAGUGGGGAAUAUUGGACAAUGGGGGGAACCCUGAUCCAGCCAUGCCGCGUGUGUGAAGGAGGCCUUAUGGUUGUAAAGCACUUUAAGCGAGGAGGAGGCUCUUUUGGUUAAUACCCAAGAUGAGUGGACGUUACUCGCAGAAUAAGCACCGGCUAACUCUGUGCCAGCAGCCGCCGUAA